ensembl:lncRNA Novel transcript, antisense to EML6
CCCUCCUCAGAGCUGGCGCAAGCAAUCCCAGACAUCACACUGGAGAGUCAAGCAUGAAUAAACUCCUACUUUGACACGAGUAUCCCUCCAGAGAUGGUUAAUUCAUCUCCUGUUCCAGAGACGUCACAUGUUAGAUCAAAUUUAAUCCCCAAUAAGAGUCUACCUGGGCUGGAGUUGAGGAUCCUACAUGUCUAUUAUACAGAGAUGCCAGAGAGAAGAGGGCAGCCCGCCUUGCAGGCCAACAGGAAGCGGGAGCCAUCUGGAACCUAUGUGCUCAACCAACAAACAUACUGCGGCUCACGGAGGUUAAGGAACUUGCCCAGGCCACACAGCUGAUGAGAAAACCAACUCAGAGGAGAUAAUGGCUUGCCCAAGAUCACACAGAAAGAGGAUAACAGAUCUUGGGCUACAAUCCGGGCCUCACGACUCUCUGCAUCUCUACCAUGUUGCUUGUCACCAACCAAAAACAUUUUCGUGGACAUUCCACAGAGAGAGAUUUACGCAAAUUAACUAUAAAAUGAUUAAAUAUAAUCCAUUGAAUGUAAAUAAACUGUUUACAAGU